CUUCUCAAACGGUUCGCUCGCACCUCCACCUAAGGCGGCACGCCUCCCUCCGUUCCUCCGCCCUCGCUGGAAGGGAUCGAGCUGCAGACACGCAACUUCUCUGAACCUCCCUCCCGGCUGAUCUCUCUACUAACACAUAUGUUUCCCAAUACAUCACUGUACAGUAUUUAUUGGGACUGGCCUGAGAAGAUGUGCAAGGUUGUGCUAUGAAGCAUCUUGCCAGUAAUUCCAUCAUCAGCUGUGGAUUGUACCUCACUUGGAUAAUGCACAAUUAUCACCGUUGAGCUGUAAAGUACCAACUUCAGAAAACUUUUCCAGUUAUGCAGCUACCUUGGAGAAACUAAAAUAAUUUAUUUGAUGAUGCUGAAUUUUAUAAAAU